rnacentral:misc_RNA from 1 species
UAUAGACUCCCUCAACCCCGGAAGU